rnacentral:rRNA from 1 species
GGGGGGGGGGGGGGGGGGGGGGGGGGGGGGGGGGGCGGGGGGUUGCCGUCGGGGGGUGGGGGCGGGCGGGUGCGUGGCGCGUGGUGGGCGGCCCUGCGGUUCGGCGUCAGCCCUUGAACCUGAUGCUCCUCCCGGCUUAUCUCCCGCGAGCAAAGAUUUAUCGCCUUAGGAUGAGCCCUCGUUGGACUAGUUAGUUGGUUGGGUCCCGGCCUACCCCGCCGCCGAUCCAUACCUGGUCUGAGAGGAUGAUCAGCCACACUGGGACUGAGACACGGCCCAGACUCCGACGGGAGGCAGCAGUGGGGAAGAUUGGACAAUGGGCGCAAGACUGAGCCAGCAAUGCCGCGGGAGUGAUGAAGGCACUAGGGUUGUAAAGCUCUUUUACCCGGGAAGAUAAUGACUGUACCGGGAGAAUAAGCCCCGGCUAACUCCGUG